UACGAAGGGUGCAAGCGUUACUCGGAAUUACUGGGCGUAAAGGGUGCGUAGGUGGUCGUUUAAGUCCGUUGUGAAAUCCCUGGGCUCAACCUGGGAAUGGCAGUGGAUACUGGACGGCUAGAAUGCGGUAGAGGGUAGUGGAAUUCCCGGUGUAGCAGUGAAAUGCGUAGAGAUCGGGAGGAACACCAGUGGCGAAAGCGGCUUCCUGGUCCAGCACCGACGUUCAGGCACGAAAGCGUGGGGAGCAAACAGG
rnacentral:rRNA from 1 species